GGAAGUAAAAGUCAACAAGGUCUCCGUUGGUGAACCAGCGGAGGGAUCAUUACAGGACUCGCAAGACUCCUUCACCCUGUGAACCUCACUACAAGCACGUUGCUUCGGCGGGUGUCCCGGCGGGGGUUUUCCCUCGCCGGGGCGCACAGCCCGCCGGCAGCCUACUAUACUCUGUCUCUUUGCGUUGGCAUCUCGAGAAAAAACAAACAAGUUAAAACUUUCAACAACGGAUCUCUUGGUUCUG
rnacentral:misc_RNA from 1 species